CUAGAAUGUGAUUUCAUAUUGGACAAUCCUGGGACACACUUUCUGCGGGCUGUCACCAACGAAACUGAGCCUGGAGGAGUGGCUCUUUAAGAAGCAGAAUCUAAGGUAGGGAGACCAUGAUGUCUGGCGGAGACCAUGAACCAGGUCACUACUAUGUGGGCAUCGAUGUGGGAACAGGUAGUGUCCGUGCAGCUCUAGUGGACCAGAGAGGAGUCCUUUUGGCCUUCGCAGAACAGCAAAUUAAGAAGUGGGAGCCCCAGUGCAACCACCAUGAGCAAUCCUCAGAGGACAUCUGGGCAGCAUGUUGCCUUGUCACAAAGGAAGUUGUUCAAGGGAUUGAUGCCCACCGAAUCCGAGGACUUGGUUUUGAUGCUACAUGUUCGCUGGUUGUCUUGGAUAAACAGUUUCAUCCUUUGCCAGUAAACCAUGAAGGGGAUUCCUCUCGAAAUGUUAUUAUGUGGUUGGACCAUCGGGCAGUCAGCCAGGUUCACAGGAUCAAUGAGACCAAGCACAGAGUCCUUCAGUAUGUGGGUGGUGUGAUGUCUGUGGAGAUGCAGGCCCCAAAGCUCCUGUGGCUGAAGGAGAACUUGAGAGAGAUUUGCUGGGAUAAGGCGGGACAUUUCUUUGAUCUCCCAGACUUCUUAUCAUGGAAGGCAACAGGUGUCACAGCACGGUCUCUCUGCUCCUUGGUGUGCAAAUGGACAUAUUCAGCAGAGAAAGGUUGGGAUGACAGCUUCUGGAAGAUGAUUGGUUUGGAAGAUCUCACUGAUGAUAAUUACAGCAAAAUAGGAAAUCUAGUGUUGCCUCCCGGAGCUUCUCUUGGAAUGGGGCUCAUACCAGAAGCAGCCAGAGAGCUGGGUCUUCCUUCAGGAAUUGCAGUGGGAGCCUCACUCAUUGAUGCCCAUGCAGGAGGACUAGGAGUAAUUGGAGCAGAUGUGAGAGGUCAUGGACUCAUCUGUGAAGGACAGCCAGUGACAUCAAGGCUGGCUGUCAUCUGCGGAACAUCAUCUUGUCACAUGGGGAUCAGCAAAGAUCCAAUCUUUGUACCAGGUGUCUGGGGUCCUUAUUUCUCAGCCAUGGUCCCAGGCUUCUGGUUGAAUGAAGGUGGUCAGAGUGUGACUGGAAAAUUGAUAGACCAUAUGGUGCAGGGCCAUCCUGCCUUUCCUGAACUACAAGCCAAGGCCACAGCCAGAUGCCAGAGUAUGUAUGCAUAUUUGAACAGUCACCUGGAUCUGAUUAAGAAGGCUCAGCCUGUGGGUUUCCUCACUGUUGAUUUACAUGUUUGGCCAGAUUUCCAUGGCAACCGGUCUCCCUUAGCUGAUCUGACUCUGAAGGGCAUGGUCACUGGAUUGACUCUGUCUCAGGACCUUGAUGAUCUUGCCAUCCUCUACCUGGCCACUGUUCAAGCCAUUGCUUUUGGGACUCGCUUCAUCAUUGAGACCAUGGAGGCAGCAGGGCAUUCUCUCAGUACACUCUUCUUAUGUGGAGGCCUGAGCAAGAAUCCCCUUUUUGUGCAAAUGCAUGCCGACAUUACUGGCAUGCCUGUGGUCCUGUCACAAGAGGUGGAGUCUGUCCUUGUGGGAGCUGCUAUUCUGGGUGCCUGUGCCUCAGGGGACUUCACUUCUGUGCAGUCUGGCCUGAGAGGAGUGCUAACGUGAAGCACCACAUCAAUCAAGAAGGGGAGCAGAUGCUGAAGUGUAUCAAAUAUCAGUAAACAAGCCCCACAGGAAGGCCACUGAACUUGACAUCCUACAAUCGAAAAUACACUACAGCCUUCAUGUCAGAUUGCUGUGAAGUUUCAUAAACCAAACUGCUGGUACAUGAAGAAGAAGGCCACGGACUCUGUGCUCCUGGUUCUGGAAAAAGGAGAAGUGAGGGGCCUCAUGAGAGGAUGUAAAGGUUAAGCCAAUUAGCAAUAAAACUUCAGAUGACACUACGUACAAGGUGUGUUGUGAAGUCAACAACGUGUGAUGGUAUGGUUGCUAGUUUUUAGAAGAGGACUGUAUCAACUAAGGGUGGC